CGGUAUGUAAUACCAAUUAUCCGGGACC
rnacentral:sRNA from 1 species